rnacentral:rRNA from 1 species
CACGUAGGUGGAUACUUAAGUCGGAUGUGAAAGCCCCGGGCUCAACCUGGGAACUGCACCCGAUACUGGGUAUCUAGAGUAUGAUAGAGGGAAGUGGAAUUUCCGGUGUAGCGGUGAAAUGCGUAGAUAUCGGAAAGAACACCAGUGGCGAAGGCGGCUUCCUGGAUCAAUACUGACACUGAGGUGCGAAAGCGUGGGGAGCAAACA